AAGAGGUUAUGAUGAUUGUUGUUGUUUUUUUUCAACAAAAACUAUGACAGCUCAAGAUGCAGAAAAGCUUCUUCGAUGGCACGUAAAGUUCAGGAGGAUACAUCAUUCGUAAGUAAAAAGCGAUCAUUUCAAAGUAAUAUUUUAGUAAUUAUUGUGUUGGUAGGCUUACGCACAUCCAAUUUUACCGUGAAUAUUGGGGUUGCAGAAACAUAAAAUUAAUGCGCAUCAAAAUUGGUGAAUGUAACGGAGAAGCCCCUCGUCGCGUCGACGCCUCAAAAAAUACGCAUCGCUCCAACAAUUGAUCUGUCAACAUCGGUUGUCACUGUCAUGGUGACUGUCACGGAGCGACAGGAGGAUGACUUGAACAAAUUGUAGCAGAGAGAGCGAAAUCGUUUAAGCCACCCGGUGAAAAUAUUUCUAGCUAUUCGAUCGUAAAUAAUCUAAACUUUAUCCUAAUUUGUUCUAACAAUAAGCAAAAUUCAGUGCAUUUGCAGAAUCAGAAUUCGCACUAAGAAAUAUUUGCAGUUAGGCCCUAAGCUAUCAGUGAAAUCGAACCUAAACACCUUUCCAAUAGAAUUAUUCAGGAAAGCUCUGAGGUUCUUGCUUGCUACAGCGUUCUUUGUGACACGAUCCAUAAAAGCGGUCCUGGAUCUCACCAAAAAUGUAAGAAACAUAUGACAUGACGGCAAUGAAUUUAUUAAAAAUAUAUUCUCAUUUUAGCUUAAAGCUACACCCACAAUCAAAGGUUUGCUUCAUUAAGAUUUGGUGAAACGUCACUCAUAGUGAAUAUUAUCAUCUUGGAAUGAAAUAAAUCAAUCUGUUUAUUUAGUAAAACUAUCUUGAAUUACAAGAAAACUCAGCUGAGAGUUUUUAUUUAUGUGAGCGUGUUAUGGAAAUGGCGCAAACCAUCAAUUCAUUGCUUAUUUGAGUUAAUUAUUCAAUAUGGCGACGAUCAUAACUAGCGAAAAUAGAACGAAAGCAAGUUUACUUUUAUGAUGACCACAAUAAACCUGGCAGUGUCGUAGUUUCUGCUGUUCCACUAACAGAUGUCGGUACUUAUCGAACGGAUCGCCAUCUGUUGAAAGUUAGAACAGUUUUAUUGUAGUAAUAAUGAAUGCCAGAAGGUUUACAUAUCGAAGAGUAUUGUUUACUCUUAAAAUCUGCCUUUAUGGAUAUCUUCAAGAAUACUAUAUAGCAUUUCAUCAAUAGUUUUCAUAAAAGUAGUCAUAAAAGUGUGAGUUCUA